GUGCAUUUCUCAAGUAAGCCAACUGCGCUUCCUCUACCUCUCUGGGUCCGAUGUGCAACAGCUCCAAAGAGCAGUCUUGUGGCAGUGUGCGAAACUGUUGUUUGUGAAGGCUGCCUUAAGGGACCUUGAGAUCAUCC